UACGUAGGGGGCAAGCGUUGUCCGGAAUCAUUGGGCGUAAAGCGCGUGUAGGCGGCCCGAUAAGUCCGCUGUGAAAGUCCAGGGCUCAACCCUGGGAUGCCGGUGGAUACUGUCGGGCUCGAGUCCGGAAGAGGAGUGUGGAAUUCCUGGUGUGAGCGGUGAAAUGCGCAGAUAUCAGGAGGAACACCAAUGGCGAAGGCAGCUCGCUGGGACGGUACUGACGCUGAGGUGCGAAAGCGUGGGGAGCAAACAGG
rnacentral:rRNA from 1 species